rnacentral:rRNA from 1 species
AGCAGUAGCCGCGGUAAUACGUAGGUCCCGAGCGUUGUCCGGAUUUAUUGGGCGUAAAGGGAGCGCAGGCGGUUUAGUAAGUCUGAAGUUAAAGGCAUUGGCUCAACUAAUGUAUGCUUUGGAAACUGUUAGACUUGAGUGCAGAAGGGGAGAGUGGAAUUGCAUGUGUAGCGGUGAAAUGCGUAGAUAUAUGGAGGAACACCGGUGGCGAAAGCGGCUCUCUGGUCUGUCACUGACGCUGAGGCUCGAAAGCGUGGGUAGCGAACAGGAUUAGAUACCCCAGUAGUCCCUGUCUCUUAUACC